rnacentral:rRNA from 1 species
GAUGAACGCUAGCUACAGGCUUAACACAUGCAAGUCGAGGGACCGGCGCACGGGUGAGUAACACGUAUCCAACCUGCCCUUUACUCGGGGAUAGCCUUUCGAAAGAAAGAUUAAUACCCGAUAUAAAGGUUGGGAAUGCGUGCCAUUAGGUUGUUGGUGAGGUAACGGCUCACCAAGCCUUCGAUGGGUGGGGGUUCGGAGAGGAAGGUCCCCUGCAUUGGAACGGAGACACGCUCCAAACGCCUACGGGAGGCAGCAGUGAGUAAUAUUGGGCAAUGGGCGCUAGCCUGAACCAGCCAAGUAGCGUGAAGGAUGAAGGCUUAUGGGUCGUAAAUUUCUUUUAUAUAAGAAUAUGUAUUAUAUGAAUAAGGAUCGGCUAACUACGUGCCAGCAGCCGCGGUAAUUC